rnacentral:rRNA from 1 species
UACGGAAGGCAGCAGUGGGGAAUAUUGCACAAUGGGCGCAAGCCUGAUGCAGCCAUGCCGCGUGUAUGAAGAAGGCCUUCGGGUUGUAAAGUACUUUCAGCGGGGAGGAAGGCGGUGAAGUUAAUAGCUUCACCGAUUGACGUUACCCGCAGAAGAAGCACCGGCUAACUCCGUGCCAGCAGCCGCGGUAAUACGGAGGGUGCAAGCGUUAAUCGGAAUUACUGGGCGUAAAGCGCACGCAGGCGGUCUGUCAAGUCGGAUGUGAAAUCCCCGGGCUUAACCUGGGAACUGCAUUCGAAACUGGCAGGCUAGAGUCUUGUAGAGGGGGUAGAAUUCCAGGUGUAGCGGUGAAAUGCGUAGAGAUCUGGAGGAAUACCGGUGGCGAAGGCGGCCCCUGGGACAAAGACUGACGCUCAGGGUGCGAAAGCGUGGGGAGCAAACAGGGAUUAGGAUACC